rnacentral:rRNA from 1 species
GCAGUCGAGCGGAUUGAUGGGAGCUUGCUCCCAUCAGUCAGCGGCGGACGGGUGAGUAACACGUGGGUAACCUGCCUGUAAGACUGGGAUAACUCCGGGAAACCGGGGCUAAUACCGGAUAACUCAUUUCCUCGCAUGAGGAAAUGUUGAAAGAUGGCUUCUUGCA